rnacentral:rRNA from 1 species
AGAGUUUGAUCCUGGCUUAGGAUGAACGCUAGCUACAGGCUUAACACAUGCAAGUCGAGCGGAAUGGCUUCGGCCAUUCAGCGGCAGACGGGUGAGUAACACGUAUCCAACCUUUCCCUUACUCGGGCAUAGCCUCUGGAAACGGAGAGUAAUACCCGAUGAAGUGUACGAGGAGCAUUUUUUGCACACCAAAGAUUCAUCGGUGAGGGGUGGGGAUGCGCUCCAUUAGCUGGUAGGCGGGGCAACGGCCCACCUAGGCGAUGAUGGAUAGGGGUUCUGAGAGGAAGGUCCCCCACAUUGGAACUGCGACACGGUCCAAACUCCUACGGGAGGCAGCAGUGAGGAAUAUUGGUCAAUGGUCGGAAGACUGAACCAGCCAAGUAGCGUGCAGGAAUGACGGCCCUACGGGUUGUAAACUGCUUUUGUGCGGGAAUAACGUGCUCCACGUGUGGGGCAGUGCAUGUACCGUACGAAUAAGGAUCGGCUAACUCCGUGCCAGCAGCUGC